rnacentral:rRNA from 1 species
GAUGAACGCUGGCGGCGUGCCUAAUACAUGCAAGUCGAGCGAACAGACGAGGAGCUUGCUCCUCUGACGUUAGCGGCGGACGGGUGAGUAACACGUGGAUAACCUACCUAUAAGACUGGGAUAACUUCGGGAAACCGGAGCUAAUACCGGAUAAUAUAUUGAACCGCAUGGUUCAAUAGUGAAAGACGGUUUUGCUGUCACUUAUAGAUGGAUCCGCGCCGCAUUAGCUAGUUGGUAAGUUAACGGCUUACCAAGGCAACGAUGCGUAGCCGACCUGUGAGGGUGGUAGGCGACACUGGAAGGUGGACGGGGUCAUGGGUCCUACGGGAGGCAGCAGAAGGCAACGUGCGGCAGAGGGGGAAAGUCUGGCGGAGCGACCCCGCGUGAGUGAUGGAGGUCUUCGGAUCGUAAUGCUCUCUUUCUAGGGAUGAACCGAUUUGUAAGUAAAUGUGCACGUAUUGACGGUAACUAGUAAGAAAGCCACGGCUAACUACGUG